UCUCCCUUCCUCAUAUCAAUUUCUGUUACCUUUUGAACAGUUUGUUCUCACUUCACAAUAUCUAUUGUACAUUUUGGAUCUUACUUACUCUUUCAGCUUCUCACACUAGGGAGUCAAUA